GACGAACGCUGGCGGCGUGCUUAACACAUGCAAGUCGAACGGAAAGGCCCUGCUUUUGUGGGGUGCUCGAGUGGCGAACGGGUGAGUAACACGUGAGUAACCUGCCCUUGACUUUGGGAUAACUUCAGGAAACUGGGGCUAAUACCGGAUAGGAGCUCCUGCUGCAUGGUGGGGGUUGGAAAGUUUCGGCGGUUGGGGAUGGACUCGCGGCUUAUCAGCUUGUUGGUGGGGUAGUGGCUUACCAAGGCUUUGACGGGUAGCCGGCCUGAGAGGGUGACCGGCCACAUUGGGACUGAGAUACGGCCCAGACUCCUACGGGAGGCAGCAGUGGGGAAUAUUGCACAAUGGGCGGAGGCCUGAUGCAGCAACGCCUCGUGCGGGAUGACGGCCUUCGGGUUGUAAACCGCUUUCGCCUGUGACGAAGCGUGAGUGACGGUAAUGUGUAAAGAAGCACCGGCUAGCUACGUG
rnacentral:rRNA from 1 species